ACGUGUGUGUGAGAGAGAGAGAGCGAGAGAGAGAGAGAGAGAGUGAGUGAAAGAGCAGCGUGGAUAAGAGGAAGAAGAAGGAGAAAAGAAGAAGAAAAUUAUAGUUAGGUUGAUUGAAGCUUAAUUAGGUGAUUUCCAUCUCCUUCAAGGCUGAAUUUCAUGUUUUUCAUGUUAGGUUUCAUGUUUUACAUCUAGUAUGUACUUGAUUGAAGUAAUUAGAGAUGGAUUGAAUCCAUAGCAGAAGGUUUUUGAGCUUGGAGUUGAGUUUAUUCCUGAAAAUUCGUGUAUAACAUAUGAAUAUGCAUAACUGUGUUUUGAGCAGAGUUGAGCCUGUCCUGUUUUUGACGAAUUUUUACCAUUGACACACUGAUCAUGUUAUUUUCUGGUAUUUUUACUGUAGAUGCGUCUUUUUGUGUAGUUUAUGCUGUAAAAAUUUCAGAAUUUUCUGAGAAACCUGGAAAAAGAUAAAAAUCUUGAACCGGACUGCAGUCAGAUUCGCGUCUAUGCUGACAGCCCAGACACAUGUUGGAAAAACGGGCAUAACUUCUUGCUCGGGUAUCGGUUUUACGCACCGUUUCUUGAUUCCGAAACUAGACUUGUAUAUCUUUCUGAAUCUGUAAAGAUUGUGCCUUAGUUUGGUCUGAGAAAAAGCAGUUUUGGUUCUGAAGUUAAUAGUUUGGUGAUUCUGAAAUUCUGGGCAGGUUUUGUGGCUGUGUCCUUCAUCAAUUUUGUCAUAGUUGAAUAUGCUCACUGACUAUGGAUGCUACUGAGUCUUAAACAUUGAUCAAUUGGUGAAGUUUUGGUGUUGGAAUUAUUGGAAAAGAUUGAGUAUGUGAUUUUUAAUGAGCAUUCGAUCGCAGACUGUUCUGCCGGGUCUGUAGUUUCUGUUUUAGAUGUGUAAUUUCAAUUGAGCAUAUCUUAGUCAUUCGGAGUCCAAUUUGGGCAAAUUUUAUAUCUAGAUUGAUGUACUAGAAGUCUUCUUGCCAGUGGUGGUGGUCUUGUAGUAUUCUUUGAAACCUAUAGAAUGCUAUAGUCAGAAUUCGAUCAAUGGUUCUGCUAGAAAGUGUGUGUUUGUGAGAUUUUUGGCUUUGAGGUACAAAUUGAUGAAUUUACUUCUUUGCUUUUGGAAUUAAACUUUGAGCUCAUAUGUGCGGAAUAUUUGUUAGGUUCGGAGACGACAACGAGUACCGCAGCUCCACGUAGGGAGUGACUGCGUUGGUUUUCUUUUUGUUGGAGACCGAGUUUUGCAGGUAUAGGUCGGUGUCCACUACAGGUCGCGUUUUGCAUUUUGUGACUCGCUCGAGAAGUGCGUAGUUGAGGCCUGUGGGAGUCUUUGUCUCCUGGCCCGUAGAUGAUUUUGCUUAGUUUAGUUUUGGAUAAUAGUUGGUUAUGUAAAGUUUAUUUCUUGACAGACUUCCGCUGUAGUUUGUAAAUGAAAAAUAUUUUUUUUUGAUGUAAAUAAAAUGUGGCUGUUGAACUGUAG